CAGGGGCAACCUCAGACACUCCCAUAGCUCUGCAGCCGCAAGGCCCCUUUUCAAGGUCUCUCCUUGGGUUUAAUGUAUGUGAGCACGAAGAGGAAUCUCAUUGAAGUUUCGCCUUCUCUACUACUGAUUUUGAAGUCCCUGUUUAGAAGGACUGCCUCGAGGAUCUGACAGGAGGAAUUGAGUAUGCUGCCAAGAUAUUAAAUGAAAUUCCCCAGAAAGACAUUCAGUGUUCUAAAAGAGCCUCAAAGGCAGGAAGGGAAGGGAACGGGCAAGGUAUCAGGAGAUUGUAUCUUUCCUUGCGUGUGAAUCACCACUCACGGCCAAUUGGAGUGGCAGGAAGCAGUUCCGGGACACCACUUCCCACAGCUCGAU